GAUGAACGCUGGCGGCGUGCCUAAUACAUGCAAGUCGAGCGAACAGGCGAGGAGCUUGCUCCUCUGACGUUAGCGGCGGACGGGUGAGUAACACGUGGAUAACCUACCUAUAAGACUGGGAUAACUUCGGGAAACCGGAGCUAAUACCGGAUAAUAUAUUGAACCGCAUGGUUCAAUAGUGAAAGACGGUUUUGCUGUCACUUAUAGAUGGAUCCGCGCCGCAUUAGCUAGUUGGUAAGGUAACGGCUUACCAAGGCGACGAUGCGUAGCCGACCUGGGAGGGUGAUCGGCCACACUGGAACUGAGACACGGUCCAGACUCCUACGGGAGGCAGCAGUAGGGAAUCUUCCGCAAUGGGCGAAAGCCUGACGGAGCAACGCCGCGUGAGUGAUGAAGGUCUUCGGAUCGUAAAACUCUGUUAUUAGGGAAGAACAAAUGUGUAAGUAACUAUGCACGUCUUGACGGUACCUAAUCAGAAAGCCACGGCUAACUACGUG
rnacentral:rRNA from 1 species